rnacentral:rRNA from 1 species
CAGCCGCCGCGGUAAUACGAAGGGGGCUAGCGUUGUUCGGAAUUACUGGGCGUAAAGCGCACGUAGGCGGAUAUUCAAGUCAGGGGUGAAAUCCCAGAGCUCAACUCUGGAACUGCCUUUGAUACUGGGUAUCUUGAGUAUGGAAGAGGUGAGUGGAAUUCUGAGUGUAGAGGUGAAAUUCGUAGAUAUUCGGAGGAACACCAGUGGCGAAGGCGGCUCACUGGUCCAUUACUGACGCUGAGGUGCGAAAGCGUGGGGAGCAAACAGGAUUAGAUACCCCGGUAGUCCCUGUCUCUUAUAC